rnacentral:ncRNA from 2 species
AAGAACCUUCGGGGCAGGGUGAGUCCGGCAGGGCUGCCGGGCAAUUCCCGAUCGGUGGUACAGCCCACGAGCAUCGUGCCUCACGGCAAUGUGCACGAUCCGGUGAAACUCCGGAGCCGACCGUACAGUCGGGAUGGAAGAAGGUUGAC